GGGUCAGUAGGUUGGUCGUGCCACCGGUACGUACUGGUCUCACUGAUUCCUCCUUCCUGAAGAACCGUAAUGCCAUUAAUUUGGCGUUGCGGGGAAACAGGACUGUUACUUUGAACAAAUUAGAGUGUUUAAAGCAAGCUAACGCUUGAAUACAUUAGCAUGGAAUAAUGAAAUAGGACGAUCGAUCCUAUUUUGUUGGUUUCUAGGAUUGACGUA
rnacentral:rRNA from 1 species